CCUUUGAGACUAGCAGGGGCUAGAGAAUGGAUGGGAGAGGUGCUGAGGUGAGGAGCAGGGGCUGAGGAGAGAGAGAAGCCAGACUCAAAGGUGAACUGCUAGGGGAAGGGAAGGGCUGGAUGACUGGGGUAUGGGGUCUUUGAAAUUCCUUGCCUGUGAGUAGGGAUUCCUUACCUAGAGGUUAGCACGGACCUUGAUAUGCUGAUAGACACUAUAAGUGUAUGUCACCUGGAGUGCCAAAUGCCCUUUCUACCAGAGGUAAGGGAAAUGUCUCCUUUUAGCAGAGGGUGAAAGACCCCAGCUUAGCAGCAGUAACGCCAUUUUGCAUGGCUGUACUUAAGAUGACUGGUUCAGGGAAAGGUUAGAACACUGAGUACACAGCGGCUGCCAAGCAGGAUGUGUUUGGUUGAAGGCCUGGCAACAGGACGACUUCGGUUGAGCACCUGACAAUGAAAAAAAAAGCCCCGGGAGAGGUCCCACACCCUGGUGGGGGGCUGAGUCAGUCGUUAUGUUCCAAGAAGGUAGCUAGGAAACUUGCCCCCGGGCUGAACCCUUGGGGGGCCGAGUCAGUCGUUAUGUUUCAGGAAGGUAGCUAGGAAACUUGCCCCCGGGCUGAACCCUUGGGGGGCCGAGUCAGUCGUUAUGUUUCAGGAAGGUAGCUAGGAAACUUGCCCCCGGGCUAAACCCUUGCCAUAUUAGAAUCCACCAAUUAUAUCCCUGUAACCAUGCAUCUGCUUCUGUAUGCUUGCUUCUGCUCCCCAAAAUCCUAUAAAAGCCCAUCCUUGGUUCCGUGGGGCGCGCCAGUCCCCCGAGUGACUAAAGCGCCCGCAGGUGCCUGUGCCUGUGUAUCCCGACAAUAAACCAAAUCCUCUUGCUGAUUGCAUCCUGUGGUGUCUCGGUCUGGUCUUUUAAGUUGGAGGGUCUCCAUCCCGAGGGAAAGUUCUCCCUGAGAGCUUUUCAUUUGGUGCAUUGGCCGGGAAAGGAGAUCCUCCACCCAGGGACCACCGACCACCCACUGGGAGGUAAGCCGGCCGGCGUCUGUCUGUCUGUCUGAUUUUGUCUCGUUCUGCCUUAUUCUGUCUGUUCUGUGAGCGCUCAGCCAGGUCUGUUCUGUGAGCGCUCAGCCAGGUUCUGUGAGCGCUCAGCCAGGUCUGUUCUGUGAGCGCUCAGCCAGGUUGUUUGGAAUUUGGGCGGGACGAAGAAGGAGCUGACGAGCUCGGACUUCUCGCCCCGCAGCCCUGGAAGACGUUCCAAGGGUGUUAGGGGCCCGACUUUUCGGGGCCCAAUCUGGGAGAGGAGAAAGAUCCGGACUAACGGCACUCUGUCUGUAUUUUUGGCUUUCAGAGGGCCCUGGACCUUUGCCACCUCCAUCUGACUUUUUGCUUUCAGUUUGGUACCAAAGCCGUGCAGCACGCCUGUCUGUUGUUUGUUUGACUGUUGGUGUUGUUUGUUUUCUCUGUGUUCUAAUCUUCCUUAGAACUAACAUGGGACAGUCCCUAACAACGCCCCUAAGUCUCACUCUUGAUCAUUAGAAAGACGUCCACGACCGGGCACACAACCAGUCCGUCGAGGUUAAAAAAAAAAAAAAAAGGAAAAUGGCAGACUCUCUGCACAUCCGAGUGGCCCACUUUCGGAGCGGGAUGGCCAGUGAAUGACACAUUUAAUAAGAUCAUUAUUUUACAGGUUAAAGAUUGGGUCGUCCACGGACAUCCUGACCAGGUUUCUUAUAUUAUCACUUGAGAGAGUCUCGCCUUAACCCCCCCCCCCCCGGGCAGAACCCUUCGUGGACCCGAAUUGGCCUCCCCUCAACCCCCAGCCUGUCCCCUCGGCCCCGCCCGGUCCGCCGGCCACGUCUUCCUCUCUCUACCUUUGUGAAAUCAGAGCCUUCUAAGAAACCUGUCCUCCCGGCAGACCCAAACUCCCCUCUCAUAGAUCUUCUCUCUGACAGGCCCGGCUGAAACGGAGGAGGCAGAGCCGCCGGCCAGAUCAGUUGCCGGGCCACAGUCUGAUAAGGGUUUCUCCCCUGUCGCAGGGAGAUUGCGCAAUAAGCUCG
ensembl:lncRNA